rnacentral:rRNA from 1 species
AUACGUAGGGGGCAAGCGUUAUCCGGAUUUACUGGGUGUAAAGGGAGCGUAGACGGUUAGGUAAGUCUGAUGUGAAAGCCCGCGGCUCAACCGCGGGACUGCAUUGGAAACUAUUUAACUAGAGUGCAGGAGAGGUAAGUGGAAUUCCUAGUGUAGCGGUGAAAUGCGUAGAUAUUAGGAAGAACACCAGUGGCGAAGGCGCUUCUCUGGACUGUAACUGACGCUGAGGCUCGAAAGCGUGGGGAGC